GCGAGGCCGCCCGGUGAGAUCUCCUCCCGUCCGUUCUGACGCACUUCCCCGGCGUCAGAGGGCCGGUGGGGGAUCUGGUCGGACGGCGGAGGGGCC
rfam:Cellulomonas cellasea DSM 20118 contig65, whole genome shotgun sequence.